UAGUGAAACAAGCCAUGGGUCAUCUUCAUUGGUUUACAAGGGCGGUGCCUUCACCCCUUCAGUCCAUAUAUAACGCGGUGAGAAAGAGGUAUCGAUUGAUGAUGGUGGAGCGGUUAACGGAGGAGCACCGCCGCCCCUUCCGUCCAUCUUGUCUGAUCGACGCCUAUACCGUCUUCGAUCUCCUAAGCGUCUGUUCAGUGAAUACCCGUCGUUGCCGGCGGCCAUUUGAGUCCGAUUCUGGUAGCAACGGCUAUCCCGAUGGAGGCCUAUUGUUGCCGGCGGCCAUUUGAGUUUGUUUCUGGCGGCGACGGCCUUCAGAUUUCUCCAUGGUAAUCUCUUUUUAUCUCCAUUCUUGAGUUUUAUACUUUUAGAGCUUUUGGUAUAUUGCAUGACUUCUCUAAUUUGAGAACUCUUUGGAUCUGUAAAGCCUAAAGAAUUUCUGGUGUAAAACCCUAAGUCUACUAUGAAUUUCUAGGGGUGGAGUUUAAUUGUUGAUAUCCAGUAAUCUUGAUUAUUGGGUUUUGAAAUAUGAAAUCCUUUGAUCAUGAAGUUGUAAAGGUGGAAUCUUUGCAUGUUAGGAACUUAAAUAUCAAGAUUUAGAAUUGGAACUUUGAUCGUCUUGCUGUUAUGAAACCCUAACGGGUCGUUGUUCUUGAAUGGGGUCUUUGAUUUGUGUUGUUGUAGUCUUUGUAUCUGAAUGGGGAAUUUGAUUGUACCAUUGUAUUGAAAUCGUAAGUUAGUCUUUGUUUUUGCAACCUCCGUUGCAGCCAUUAUCAACCAGUUGAAUUUCACCCCACCUGUUGGAAUUAAGGGUAUAUGGAACUGAAAGCUAUAUUUGGUCGUUGCGUACCGAGUUCGUUUGCUGGCUAUGAUGACUUUGGUAAAAAAAAAGUUUAGGUUUGAUGUUGCAUAGCAAGGAUGGCGAGUGCAGUGUUUGCUACUAGCAACCUGUUAUGCAGCUAUGACAACCUCAAUACCUAUUCUGAGCCUUCUAUUACAAGUUAUUAAAAAACCAAAACGAGUUCCAGUUCCAUAAACGGCCUCAUUAAAAUGAGUGAAUCAUUUCUGUUUGAAUGGAUCAGUAAAAAUGGAAAGAAGGGUUUCACGUAACUUCAAUGACUGCAACUAGCAGUCGUUGGGGUGUUGUGAUGUCAACAAACGCAGGAUUUUUUUACCAGGCCGGCUCGGUUUGUAAAGUAGCCGAGGCCAGCUCCGGGGAAGUUCCGCCGACUGCGUUGGCGCGUCAACCCUAUAUCUACAAGUUCUUAGGUUUUGCAUUUUGGUACUGGUGAUGAUAACUUUUGCCUCCAGAAGAAAAUGUUCUAAAGAGUCUUAAAACUGAUUUGAAUGGUGAAUAAAUCAUCUUUCAGUUUGUGUUAUAAAAAAGAGGUACAGCGAGUUUUUUGCCCAAGUGAGAUCAGUGCUCAAACACUACCCAACUCUUCAAUUAUCUCAAACAAGAGAGGUUACAUUUGUCUAUUCCACAUAAUUAUGCAAAUCAUAUAUUUGUUUUAAAAAUUUGAUCUCUUUUCACUUUAGGUCUACAUAUAAUAUGUGUGUAAACAGUGUAUGUACCAUAGCAUGUACUGUGUUUUAAAUGUGUUACAGAUUAUUGGUUGUGAAUGUAUGUGAAAAAAUCACGGGUCAAAACGGGUCGACAACUUCAAAGAAAUAGAUCAAUGGGGUUGGUGUUUUAAAUAAACGGGGCAAGUUUCGGAUCAAAACGGGUCCGGUUCGGAUUGAGUUUCUGGCGGCCGGGACGGGUUUCGGAUCGGAACGUAGUUGGUUCGGAUGGGAUUUCGGGUAGGCACGGGUUUCCGCACGGGACGGGUUUCGGGCAGACAUGAGUUUUCGCACUGGACGAGUUUCGAGUCGGGACAGAUUUUAGCACGAGACGGGGUUCAGUUCGAUUUUUUUGUUUUGUUUAGGUUGGUUAAUUUCGGUUUCGGUUGAGAUUUUUUUUUCGUUUUGGUUACUUUUUGGGUUCGGUUGAGAUUUUUCCAGUUUUUUUUUCGUUUUGGCCGGUUUCAAUUCGGUUUUUUGUUCCUUUUUGAUCGGUUUUUCCGGAUCGGUUUAGAAAUUUUCAGUUUUUUUGUUUCGUUUUGGUUGUUUCAUUUCGGUUCAGUUUUCGGUUUUUUCCUUUUGGUUGCUUUUUUCGUUUGAUUUUUUUUCAGUUUUUUUUUGUUUCGUUUCGGUUCAGUUUUAGGUUUUUUGUUUCGUUUUGCUCGCUUUUUUCGUUCAAUUUUUUCAGUUUUCUUCUCAGUUUUCGUUUUGUUUCGUUGCAUCCUUUUAACUUACCAGAUAGCCUAACUUCCGCGAUUUCAAAAUCGGAAAAUACCACCAACUGAUGCAGUAAUCUUGAUUUCUUAUGAACACCAGCAAACAGAUUUGAAAACAUAUUUUUCAACACUUCGAUUUAUACAUUUAGAAAACACACCCGGACCCGUUUCAACCCGACAAAAUUGCCCCUUAAUGUACAUUCUCUCUUUAAAAAAACCCAUUUUUUAACCAAACCGACCCGACCCGAAACCCAUUCUGACCCGGAACCGUUUCAACCCGGACCCGUUCUGACCCGAACCCGUUCCGACCCGAACCAAAACAACCCUUUUUGUAACUGAUACGUUUUGACCCGAAUCCGUUUUAUCGCGGACCCGUUUUGACCCACGACCCAACCCGACCCGGCCCGACCCGUUUGCCAGGUCUAAAUUUUACACUUUGUAAUGGCAUGUAAAUAUGAAGUGAUUUUGAAUAAAUUUUAAGCAAUUUUCAAGACAAUUAAGUAAAGUAACCUAUCUUGUCUUUGAGUGCAUACUUUCAAUUGGGAAUUUUUAGGUACUUGAAUUUUACGACUCAACUUAAGUGUGUUACUAUUAGUGUUGAUGUAUGCAAAGAUUUUGUUUUACUUCUUACAAUGCUAUGGGUUGUCAUAUAGAUAGUUUCAUAACCAUGUCGUCGCACACGCAUUUUCUCCAGCAACGCCCCGAGUGACAGGAAAAGCUGCAGAUGUUAUGCUAUUGGAGAGGUUGCAAAGUAAAGGAAAUGAGCUACUACGGGACCACUAUGUAAAGACCGAGCUUUUCACCGCCGAGCUCAUGGUAUCAGUCAAACCGUUUACCAGUAAAAUGUGCAGGCAGCAGGCGUAAAGAUCGGAAAACCAACUCACUGACUGACCAACCAAGCUCGGUCAUAGCAUACAGAAGACUGAGCACACCGGCUCCAACCAUGGCUAUGACAUUGUCGAAGGUGGAGCACCAUGUGGCAUUGCGUGAUCACGUGACUGGAAGCCAUUUGUCAAUGGCUCGGGCCGUUCGGUUCUGUUGUCAACCUGUCACAAUCAUGAUUUUUUAAAUAAGUUUUUUAGAGGAACAAAAUUGUAAUUGUACCAUAAGUCAAUAAUUAAUAGUCAUAAUGUUAAUAAGAAACACAAUCAUUAUAAUAAUACAUAUAGUUUAAACUCGAGAUAUCGAGGUGA